rnacentral:rRNA from 1 species
AGUGGCGAACGGGUGAGUAAUACAUCGGAACAUGUCCUGUAGUGGGGGAUAGCCCGGCGAAAGCCGGAUUAAUACCGCAUACGAUCUGAGGAUGAAAGCGGGGGACCUUCGGGCCUCGCGCUAUAGGGUUGGCCGAUGGCUGAUUAGCUAGUUGGUGGGGUAAAGGCCUACCAAGGCGACGAUCAGUAGCUGGUCUGAGAGGACGACCAGCCACACUGGGACUGGGACACGGCCCAGACUCCUACGGGAGGCAGCAGUGGGGAAUUUUGGACAAUGGGCGAAAGCCUGAUCCAGCAAUGCCGCGUGUGUGAAGAAGGCCUUCGGGUUGUAAAGCACUUUUGUCCGGAAAGAAAUCCUUGGUUCUAAUAUAGCCGGGGGAUGACGGUACCGGAAGAAUAAGCACCGGCUAACUACGUGCCAGCAGCCGCGGUAAUACGUAGGGUGCAAGCGUUAAUCGGAAUUACUGGGCGUAAAGCGUGCGCAGGCGGUUUGCUAAGACCGAUGUGAAAUCCCCGGGCUCAACCUGGGAACUGCAUUGGUGACUGGCAGGCUAGAGUAUGGCAGAGGGGGGUAGAAUUCCACGUGUAGCAGUGAAAUGCGUAGAGAUGUGGAGGAAUACCGAUGGCGAANGCAGCCCCCUGGGCCAAUACUGACGCUCAUGCACGAAAGCGUGGGGAGCAAACAGGAUUAGAUACCCUGGUAGUCCACGCCCUAAACGAUGUCAACUAGUUGUUGGGGANUCAUUUCCUUAGUAACGUANCUAACGCGUGAAGUUGACCGCCUGGGGAGUACGGUCGCNAGAUUAAAACUCAAAGGAAUUGACGGGG